GAUGAACGCUGGCGGCGUGCCUAAUACAUGCAAGUCGAGCGAAUGGAUUAAGAGCUUGCUCUUAUGAAGUUAGCGGCGGACGGGUGAGUAACACAUGAGUAACCUGCCCAUAAGACUGGGAUAACUCCGGGAAACCGGGGCUAAUACCGGAUAACAUUUUGAACCGCAUGGUUCGAAAUUGAAAGGCGGCUUCGGCUGUCACUUAUGGAUGGACCCGCGUCGCAUUAGCUAGUUGGUGAGGUAACGGCUCACCAAGGCAACGAUGCGUAGCCGACCUGGGAGGGUGAUCGGCCACACUGGGACUGAGACACGGCCCCGACUCCUACGGGAGGCAGCAGUAGGGAAUCUUCCGCAAUGGACGAAAGUCUGACGGAGCAACGCCGCGUGAGUGAUGAAGGCUUUCGGGUCGUAAAACUCUGUUGUUAGGGAAGAACAAGUGCUAGUUGAAUAAGCUGGCACCUUGACGGUACCUAACCAGAAAGCCACGGCUAACUUCGUGCCAGCAGCCGCCGUAA
rnacentral:rRNA from 1 species